CCUACGGGAGGCAGCAGUGAGGAAUAUUGGUCAAUGGACGAGAGUCUGAACCAGCCAAGUAGCGUGAAGGAUGACUGCCCUCUGGGUUGUAAACUUCUUUUAUAUGGGAAUAAAAUGUUCCACGUGUGGGAUUUUGUAUGUACCAUAUGAAUAAGGAUCGGCUAACUCCGUGCCAGCAGCCGCGGUAAUACGGAGGAUCCGAGCGUUAACCGGAUUUAUUGGGUUUAAAGGGAGCGUAGGUGGAUUGUUAAGUCAGUUGUGAAAGUUUGCGGCUCAACCGUAAAAUUGCAGUUGAAACUGACAGUCUUGAGUACAGUAGAGGUGGGCGGAAUUCGUGGUGUAGCGGUGAAAUGCUUAGAUAUCACGAAGAACUCCGAUUGCGAAGGCAGCUCACUGGACUGCAACUGACACUGAGGCUCGAAAGUGUGGGUAGCAAACAGGAUUAGAUACCCCGGUAGUC
rnacentral:rRNA from 1 species